GGGGUGGGUUUUCAAACCCUGUUUAAAAGAGGAUUUUCCUCACAGAAAGAAAAGGAGGCUGUGUAUCAUCAGUUAUGAGAUGUGACAUUCCCUGUUGUUCUCUCCACCAUGGGGUGGACACCAGGUAGAGAAUUCAGGAUGUGGCUCUCGCACAAGGAACACCUGUGAAUGCCGCUCUCUGACACCUGCCCACAGACUCAUUUCUCACUCACUUCUUGGAGCAAACUAUGGAAAACAAAUAUCUGUAAUGUACACAUAAAGUCGUAUAUCUGGUAUUGGGAGCUAGUUUUAUUGUGCGGAAGGCCACAGAAGCAGGCUGGAACCUACACAUCCAGGAACAGAAUCCACAGCCCACCCUGGAUCAGGUCCCUCCUAGGAACAACUGCCCCUGCUGCUGAGCACAGACGCCACUGCCCACACCUCUGACACCUGGUGCUGGACACUGGACCCUGAGGCCAAGACAGACGUCACUGCUGCACUUGGAAACUGGACAUCACUACUGUCACUCAGCAAUCUUUACUAAAAUGUGUUCUGCACAGUCCCAGCCUCUCUGUCACCUCAUUCUGGCUCAGAGUCUGGCAGUGAUAUAGGAGAUAAGAAGAAAUUAUUUAGACAUGUAGUGAGGGUAUGGAAGGCUUUUAAUGAAAAGCAGACUCCAAAUUAUUUUCUUUUCUAACAAGGAGCAGCCUGUAAUAUCAAGCUUCAGACAUAGAGAAGCAAGCUGGAAGCUUGCACGGGUGAAUGCUGGCAGCUGUGCCAAUAGGAAUAGGACACCUGUGACUGGACAUGUUCACAAUGGCAACUCCAUCUUCCCUUCUCUUUGCCAGGCACGUUUACAGUAAGCAGACAGCAUGGCGUUGGCCAAGUGGAAAGCCCAUUUGCAUAAUAGGAUGAGGGAAAAGCUGACCAGGAUUUACCAUCAAUACAGACCUUAAGUCUGAUCAGAAACAUCUACAAUCUAUUCUCCCUGAAGCCUGGCACCUGGAGGCGUCAUCUGCAUGAGAAGAUUUUGGACUCCACAACCUCUUAUCAUAACCCAGACAUUCCUCUCUAUUGAUAAUAACUCAACCAAUUGCCAAUCAGAAAAAUUAAAAUCUACUUAUAACCCAGAAGCACUACCCUGUAACCCUUGCUUGCUUCACAUUGUUCCAAUGUUCUGGACUGAACCAACAUAUAGCUUAAAAGUAUUUGAUUGAUGUCACAUAACUUCCUAAAAUGUAUAAAACCAACCUGUGCCACAACCACCUUGAGCACAUGUUCUCAAGGUCUCCUGAGGGCUGUAUCAUGGGCUGUGGUCACUCAUUUUGGCUCAGAAUUAAUCUCUUCAAAUAUG